rnacentral:pre_miRNA from 15 species
GAUUGACCCAUGUACUCCGGCUAUAGUGAGGUGAGUUAGAUCUCAUAUCCUUCCGCAAAAUGGAAAUGAUAUGUAAUCUAGCUUACAGGUUGUUCAACAUCCCAAAGACAGUGCUACU